rnacentral:rRNA from 1 species
AACGCUAGCUACAGGCUUAACACAUGCAAGUCGAGGGGAAACGAUAGAGAAAGCUUGCUUUUUCUAGGCGUCGACCGGCGUACGGGUGAGUAACGCGUAUCCAACCUGCCCAUCACUUGGGGAUAACCUUGCGAAAGUAAGACUAAUACCCAAUGACGUCCAUAGAAGACAUCUGAAAUGGAUUAAAGAUUUAUCGGUUAUGGAUGGGGAUGCGUCUGAUUAGCUUGUUGGCGGGGUAACGGCCCACCAAGGCAACGAUCAGUAGGGGUUCUGAGAGGAAGGUCCCCCACAUUGGAACUGAGACACGGUCCAAACUCCUACGGGAGGCAGCAGUGAGGAAUAUUGGUCAAUGGGCGAGAGCCUGAACCAGCCAAGUAGCGUGCAGGAUGACGGCCCUAUGGGUUGUAAACUGCUUUUAUACAGGAAUAAAGUUAGCCACGUGUGGUUAUUUGUAGGUACUGUAUGAAUAAGGACCGGCUAAUUCCGUGCCAGCAGCCGCGGUAAUACGGAAGGUCCAGGCGUUAUCCGGAUUUAUUGGGUUUAAAGGGAGCGUAGGCCGUCUGUUAAGCGUGUUGUGAAAUGUAGAUGCUCAACAUCUGAAUUGCAGCGCGAACUGGCAGACUUGAGUGUGCGCAACGUAGGCGGAAUUCGUGGUGUAGCGGUGAAAUGCUUAGAUAUCACGAAGAACUCCGAUUG